GGACCGCUGGCGCAACUGGCAGCGCGUUCGAUUCCAGAUCGAAAGGUUAUCCGUUCAAAUCGGGUGUGGUUCA
rfam:Rhynchosporium commune strain TK7 genome assembly, contig: RCO7_scaffold018